UGACAAUUAAUCAUCUUCUCCUUUCUUCUUCCUGAUAUCUGGUUGCCUCCGAUCCUCAUCUCUUCCUUUCCUGUCUGUUCCUCUUCUCGUAAUGGUUGACACCACUUUUCCAUCCGUCCCCGCGGCUCCGUCUAGAUCUGUUUCCAAUCCGAGUGCUUUGAGGGGUAAGGGCUCCGACGUCCAGUUGAGAGGUCCUCCUUGGGCAUCGAUUGUGAAGUUCGUUGCCAUCCUGAACUCGACGUUUGUGAACGAAGCCCUUACUAUUCUGGAGUCAAUGAUUGCUAAGGGUUUGCUCAAGAUGCGUGCUGCUGCUGUGGCCCAGUUCAUGGGCUGCGUCCCUUCGAUUCGUGUAAUUUUCCCAUGAUUAAUCGGCUGUGGGGUGGCUAUGAGGGUGAGAUUAUCUUAUCGCAGCUUUUCAAGGGAUUUUUUCUGUUUGAGUUUCCAUCGAUUGCACUUUGCGAUUGGGUUCUUAGUAGGAUGUGGCAUGUUCAUCAUUGUCAUGUGGUGCUUCGUAAAUGGCAGCCAGGAUUCUCCCACUUGAUCUUAUUAUUAAGGAAGUACCUAUUUGGAUUCGGCUUCACAACGUGCCUCAGCACCUGAUUACAAAUGACGGGAUUGAAUGGUUGGUCAAUCUUAUUGGAGCACCUAUCAACAUGUUUAUUCGUGAGGGUCUUACGGUCAAAGUUUGUAUUGUUUUGUAAGCAUGUAAACUAUGCCCUACUAGUGUCGAUAUCACUUUGGAUGGGGAGAUAACUACGAUUCUGAUUGACUCACCUCAAGCUCGAUCCUAUGAUGAGAAGCAGGUUACUAAGAGGGAAUGGAGACCUAAAUCCCAACCUCACAUUUUGGUAUCCACUAGUGCGCCCCCAAGCAAUGGCGAUGAGCCUUCUUAAUUUGCAAGAGAAGUCUCCACAUGAGGACGCUAGUCCGACAUCAGCUAGAGGGGGAGUGAACGCCGCUGUUGAGGCUUAUUUGGAAGCUGGGACGCAAGUGCUCACUCAACAUGAUGUUGCAUCUCAAACUUCUCUGCAAGUGGAGGAUGCCAUCUUGAGCCCUAAUGGUGAUGAUCAGAUAGGUCAACAGCUUCAAGAUUUAGUGUCAUCGGUUGUACAAGAUGUUCUGGUUGAUCCCUCUGAUGGAUCUCGGGAUGAGCAUGUUCAUGAAGAAAUAGUGAUUGAAAACCCUGACGACUGUCCAACUCUUCAUAGCCCAGGGCAAGCAACAUUGGUGACUUCUUAUCAAAGGGGGAGUGCAGUCUGCCAAAGCUAAGAAGGGUAGGAAGCAAGGAAAGAAGGGGAAAUGAAGGUUUUGAUAUGGAACUGACAAGUGGUUCAAUUCCCCUCUUAAACAUAAAUAUAUUAGUAUUUAUCUAAAUAAAUUGAAUAUAGAUAUUUUGGGUGUGUUAGAGACUAGAGUUAAGAAUCGGAAAGCAGCAAAAAUCUUGGAGACUGCUUUUUCUACUUGGCACAAUUUUACGAAUUAUGAUUGC
rnacentral:lncRNA from 1 species